GGCCACGUAAUUGUCGGCAUAGUAAAUCCAUCGGAUACGGACUGCCUAACUCCCCCAGCAAAUAGAGAGGAGCAAUUCAAGAUGGAGUCUCGCUCUAUCAGUCAGACUGGAGUGCAGUAGCACGAUCUCAGCUCACAGCAACCUCUGCUUCUCGGGUUCAUGAGAUUCUCCCAAGUAGCUGGGAUUACAGUAAGAAGAUGGGAGCAACAGAUAAUCACUUUCCCAGAUCACCCAACAGUUGGAAAGAAAGCACAUGACCUGGGUUCAGCCAGUCAGAUGCAUCUAAGUGGGACUUUGAAUCUGAAGCUAGUGUUGGAAAGAAGCAAGCCAAGUGGACAGUUCUUUCUGACAAUGGCUGCCGUGGCUGCCCUGUCUGUUAUCUAGGGGCAAAGGCCAAGAGAGUAUUCAGGACCAGUGGUGCAAGCCACAGCACCAGCAUCCUGCAGAGGAGAUAGGUCUUUCCUGACUGGCAUGAUUAUGGCUGCUGUGCUGAAUGACUAGCAACCCUUCCUUUCUGCCCAUUUUCUAGACCUGAUUCUUCAGCCUUCUUAGAAAUUCUGAGAUGCC